rnacentral:rRNA from 1 species
UACGUAGGGGGCUAGCGUUGCUCGGAAUCACUGGGCGUAAAGGGUGCGUAGGCGGGUUUUUAAGUCAGAGGUGAAAUCCUGGAGCUCAACUCCAGAACUGCCUUUGAUACUGAAGAUCUUGAGUUCGGGAGAGGUGAGUGGAACUGCGAGUGUAGAGGUGAAAUUCGUAGAUAUUCGCAAGAACACCAGUGGCGAAGGCGGCUCACUGGCCCGAUACUGACGCUGAGGCACGAAAGCGUGGGGAGCAAACAGG